UACGUAGGGGGCGAGCGUUACCCGGAUUUACUGGGCGUAAAGCGCGUGUAGGCGGCUGGUCAAGCGUGGUGUGAAAUCUCCGGGCUCAACCCGGAAACUGCAUUGCGAACGUGACCUAGCUGGAGUGCAGGAGAGGGCAGCGGAAUUCCCGGUGUAGCGGUGAAAAUGCGUAGAUAUCGGGAGGAACACCGGUGGUGUAGACGGCUCUCGUGGACCAUUACUGACGACUG
rnacentral:rRNA from 1 species